rnacentral:rRNA from 1 species
UGCCCUACAGUUCCCCGCCCGGGAACAAGGAGCUGGUAUCAGGCACACCCCAUUAAGCCCAUGACGCCUUGCUUAGCCACACCCUCAAGGGAACUCAGCAGUGAUAAACAUUAAGCCAUAAGUGAAAACUUGACUUAGUCAAAGCUAAGAGGGCCGGUAAAACUCGUGCCAGCCACCGCGGUUAUACGAGAGGCCCAAGUUGAAAGACAUCGGCGUAAAGAGUGGUUAAGUAAAAACUAAACUAAAGUCGAACAUCUUCAAGGCUGUUAUACGCAUCCGAAGACAAGAAGUUCAACCACGAAGGUGACUUUAUUCGUACUGAACCCACGAAAGCUAGGACACAAACUGGGAUUAGAUACCCCACUAUGCCUAGCCCUAAACCUUGAUAGUGACCUACGCCCACUAUCCGCCUGGGAACUACGAGCAUCAGCUUGAAACCCAAAGGACUUGGCGGUGCUUUAGAUCCACCUAGAGGAGCCUGUUCUAGAACCGAUAACCCCCGUUCAACCUCACCUUUCCUUGUUUUCCCCGCCUAUAUACCGCCGUCGUCAGCUUACCCUGUGAAGGUCUAAUAGUAAGCAAAACUGGCAUAGCCCUAAACGUCAGGUCGAGGUGUAGCGCAUGGGAAGGGAAGAAAUGGGCUACAUUUGCUAUAAUAGCAAAUACGGAUGGUGUUCUGAAAUAUACACCUGAAGGAGGAUUUAGCAGUAAGCGG